UACGGAGGAUGCAAGCGUUAUCCGGAAUGAUUGGGCGUAAAGCGUCCGCAGGUGGCUGUGUAAGUCUGCUGUUAAAGAGUGAGGCUCAACCUCAUAAAGGCAGUGGAAACUACAUGGCUAGAGUGCGUUCGGGGCAGAGGGAAUUCCUGGUGUAGCGGUGAAAUGCGUAGAGAUCCGGAAGAACACCGGAGGCGAAGGCGGCUCACUGGGGGUUUUCUGACGCUGAGGAACGAAAGCCAGGGUAGCGAACGGG
rnacentral:rRNA from 1 species